rnacentral:rRNA from 1 species
AGAGUUUGAUCAUGGCUCAGGACGAACGCUGGCGGCGUGCCUAACACAUGCAAGUGGAGCGACGAACCAGGCUUCGGCCUGGGGCAAAGCCGCGAACGGGUGAGUAACACGUGGGUAACCUGCCCCGAUGAUUGGGACAACCCGAGGAAACUCGGGCUAAUACCAAAUGUGCCCUCCGGUCAUAAGACCGCUGGGGAAAGGAAGCUUCGGCCUCCGCAUCGGGAUGGGCCCGCGGCCCAUUAGCUUGUUGGUGAGGUAACGGCUCACCAAGGCGACGAUGGGUAGCUGGUCUGAGAGGACGAUCAGCCACACUGGGACUGAGACACGGCCCAGACUCCUACGGGAGGCAGCAGUGGGGAAUCUUGCGCAAUGCGCGAGAGCGUGACGCAGCAACGCCGCGUGGGGGAAGAAGGCCUUCGGGUUGUAAACCCCUUUCAGUUGGGACGAAGCUCCGCCGGUGAAUAGCCGGCUGGAGUGACGGUACCUUCAGAAGAAGCCCCGGCUAACUACGUGCCAGCAGCCGCGGUAAUACGUAGGGGGCAAGCGUUGUCCGGAAUCAUUGGGCGUAAAGAGCGUGUAGGCGGCUCGGUAAGUCCGCUGUGAAAGUCCAGGGCUCAACCCUGGAAUGCCGGUGGAAACUGUCGAGCUCGAGUCCGGAAGAGGCGAGUGGAAUUCCUGGUGUAGCGGUGAAAUGCGCAGAUAUCAGGAGGAACACCAAUGGCGAAGGCAGCUCGCUGGGACGGUACUGACGCUGAGACGCGAAAGCGUGGGGAGCAAACAGGAUUAGAUACCCCCGUAGUCC